UACGUAGGGGGCAAGCGUUGUCCGGAUUUAUUGGGCGUAAAGAGCGUGUAGGCGGCUUUACAGGUCCGUUGUGAAAACUCGAGGCUCAACCUCGAGACGCCGGUGGAAACCGUAAAGCUAGAGUCCGGAAGAGGAGAGUGGAAUUCCUGGUGUAGCGGUGAAAUGCGUAGAUAUCUGGAGGAACACCGGUGGCGAAGGCGGCAUCCUGGACCAACACUGACGCUGAGUGAGCGAAAGCCAGGGGAGCAAACGGG
rnacentral:rRNA from 1 species